rnacentral:rRNA from 1 species
CACAGAGGUCUCAAGCGUUGUUCGGAUUCAUUGGGCGUAAAGGGUGCGUAGGUGGCGAGGUAAGUUGGAUGUGAAAUCCCAGGGCUCAACCCUGGAACUGCAUUCAAUACUGCCUUGCUAGAGUACUGGAGAGGAGAUUGGAAUUUACGGUGUAGCAGUGAAAUGCGUAGAUAUCGUAAGGAAGACCAGUGGCGAAGGCGGAUCUCUGGACAGUUACUGACACUGAGGCACGAAGGCCAGGGGAGCAAACGGG